rnacentral:rRNA from 1 species
CGGCGAACGGGCGAGUAAUACGUGGGUAACCAACCUUCGAAAUCGGGAUAACACUUGGAAACGGGUGCUAAUACCGGAUGUGACCACGUCAUCGCAUGGUGACGAGGUAAAAGACGGGGAACCUUAAAGGUCCUGUCAUUCGGAGAUGGGCCCGCGUCCUAUCAGCUAGUUGGUGGGGUAAUGGCUCACCAAGGCUUUUGACGGGUAGCUGGACUAAGAGGUUGGUCAGCCGCACUGGGACUGAGACACUGCCCAGACUCCUACGGGAGGCUGCAGUCGAGGAUCUUUUGCAAUGGGCGAAAGCCUGACAAUGCGACGCCGCGUGAGGGACGAAGGCCUUCGGGUCGUAAACCUCUGUCAGGGGGGAUGAGGCCCCGAACGAUAAAUAAUCGUUCGGGGUGACAGUACCCCCAAAGGAAGCCACGGCUAACUCCGUGCCAGCAGCCGCGGUAAUACGGAGGUGGCAAGCGUUACUCGGAUUCAUUGGGUGUAAAGGGCGUGUAGGCGGUUGUGUAAGUCGAAUGUGAAAUCCCACGGCUUAACCGUGGAAGUGCAUUCGAAACUGCGCAACUAGAGUAUGGGAGAGGAGAACGGAAUUCCCGGUGUAAGGGUGAAAUCUGUGGAUAUCGGGAGGAACACCAGUGGCGAAGGCGGUUCUCUGGCCCAUAACUGACGCUGAGAAGCGAAAGCGUGGGGAGCAAACAGGAUUAGAUACUCUGGUAGUCCACGCUGUAAACGAUGAGCACUAGGUGUUGGUUCGUAUAGAGCCGGUGCCGCAGUUAACACAUUAAGUGCUCCACCUGGGGACUACGACCGCAAGGUUGAAACCCAAAGGAAUUGACGGGGCCCGCACAAGCGGUGGAACAUGUGUUCAAUUCG